CCCAAGAAGCUCUGUUACUACUCUGGUCAGUACUCACUUUGGUUACCCACUUUGGUGGUUAGCUGUGUGGCUAUGGCAUUAAAGAAUAUAGCCACCCCACAGGCCGAAGACGGGCAGCAGCAUCUUCAGU